AGUGUGAAUUGCAGAAUUCAGUGAAUCAUCGAAUCUUUGAACGCACAUUGCGCCCCUUGGUAUUCCAUGGGGCAUGCCUGUUCGAGCGUCAUUUGUACCUUCAAGCUCUGCUUGGUGUUGGGUGUUUUGUCUCGCCUCCGCGCGCAGACUCGCCUUAAAACAAUUGGCAGCCGG
rnacentral:rRNA from 1 species